rnacentral:rRNA from 1 species
UACGUAGGGGGCAAGCGUUGUCCGGAUUUAUUGGGCGUAAAGAGCGUGUAGGCGGCCGCACAGGUCCGUUGUGAAAACUGGAGGCUCAACCUUCAGACGUCGAUGGAAACCGUGCGGCUAGAGUCCGGAAGAGGAGAGUGGAAUUCCUGGUGUAGCGGUGAAAUGCGCAGAUAUCAGGAAGAACACCCGUGGCGAAGGCGGCUCUCUGGGACGGUACUGACGCUGAGACGCGAAAGCGUGGGGAGCGAACAGG